rnacentral:rRNA from 1 species
UACGGAGGGGGCUAGCGUUGUUCGGAAUUACUGGGCGUAAAGCGCACGUAGGCGGCUUUGCAAGUUAGAGGUGAAAGCCCGGGGCUCAACUCCGGAAUUGCCUUUAAAACUGCAUCGCUAGAAUUGUGGAGAGGUAAGUGGAAUUCCGGGUGUAGAGGUGAAAUUCGUAGAUAUUCGGAAGAACACCAGUGGCGAAGGCGACUUACUGGACACAUAUUGACGCUGAGGUGCGAAAGCGUGGGGAGCAAACAGGG